UGGGGAAUUUUGGACAAUGGGCGAAAGCCUGAUCCAGCAAUGCCGCGUGUGUGAAGAAGGCCUUCGGGUUGUAAAGCACUUUUGUCCGGAAAGAAAUCCUUGGCUCUAAUACAGUCGGGGGAUGACGGUACCGGAAGAAUAAGCACCGGCUAACUACGUGCCAGCAGCCGCGGUAAUACGUAGGGUGCAAGCGUUAAUCGGAAUUACUGGGCGUAAAGCGUGCGCAGGCGGUUUGCUAAGACCGAUGUGAAAUCCCCGGGCUCAACCUGGGAACUGCAUUGGUGACUGGCAGGCUAGAGUAUGGCAGAGGGGGGUAGAAUUCCACGUGUAGCAGUGAAAUGCGUAGAGAUGUGGAGGAAUACCGAUGGCGAAGGCAGCCCCCUGGGCCAAUACUGACGCUCAUGCACGAAAGCGUGGGGAGCAAACAGGAUUAGAUACCCUGGUAGUCCACGCCCUAAACGAUGUCAACUAGUUGUUGGGGAUUCAUUUCCUUAGUAACGUAGCUAACGCGUGAAGUUGG
rnacentral:rRNA from 1 species